AGAUAAAAAAUGGCCCGAAACCAUAUCAGUUUCGGGCUCAGGGUAAUGGCUCAAUGGGGUUGAGCCUUGCGCUAAUAAACUUGUAUCAACAAAAGAUAUUAAAUGAUCCGGUAAAAUUAAGUGUAGUGGAAACCUAAAGUAUUGCGAACUU
rnacentral:sRNA from 1 species